AGAAAAAUAUGAUGGUUUACCUUUGUUAGCGCUUAAUGGCAUAAGAAGUAGCCUACAUGUGAAAUACUUUUCCUCUGAUCUCAAACUAUUGAGUUUUAUUUAUCGUCUAUUUUUAUUGAAUGAACAGUUCAAUUUCUUGACCAAAUGAUUGUACAACAUUAACAUUAUGCAAAAUGGUGAGGAGCAGGCCUAUUGUAUUAUUUUCAUUUUGUUAAAAUGUGGAAGUGGUAAACAACAGGAAAUUAUAUAUUUUUAAUUGCUCAUCUCAAACCAAAGCAGAAAGCAGGUUUCUCAAGUCAAUGUUAACACAGGCAUUUCCUUACAGAGAUCUUUGACAUAAGGCCACCACACACACUUUACUCACUCUACAUAAUGCCAAAACAGAAGAAGGUGUCAUGUAGAACAAAGCAAAAAAAAAAAAAAAAAGCAUGAGCUAAAAUCUCAGAUUCACACCCCCUCACUUUAAACACAUUAAAACACUGUAAACUUCCUUUUAAUACGGUGUGGUAACCCGCUCCGUUAAGAAUCACACGUUAAGGAGAGGGUUAAGCCGCACUCAGCAUUGAUUGCAUACAUCUUACGCCUCGUGCCCACUACCUCCGUCCGUUGACUGAUCCCCAUUGACUUUGAAUGGGGACGGACGCGCAAUGCAUUGUGGAUCCGUCCGAUCCGUUGGAGCCUUCGGCUCCGUCAAAAAGUUAAAAAAUGUUCAACUUUUUCGGCAGCGACGGAUCCGUCAUCCAAUCAGAUCGCGUAUGCAAAUUUAAGUACUGUGACGCGACUCGGGCUCUGACGAUACUGGAAAGCGGGAAAGCGGGUCAUCUUGCCUCGCAACAAGCAGGAAGAAGCGGGAAGAACCCGGCGAAGCGAUUUGAUUGGCUGACGGAUGCCUCUGCAAAGACUACUCCCCCAUCCGUCAGCCACGCCUUCCCACGUCCGUUGACUGACGGUGCAGUGGGCAUGUACGCCUCGUGCCCACUGCACCGUCAGUCAACGGAUCGUCCGUCUUGGCUCCGUGGUAUUUAUUUAACCGAAAGCAAAAAGCAAACAUGAGGAUCAACGUAAACCUUUUUCACAUAUAACAAAAGAGCUGUCACUGAGCGGUUUAAAAACUGUACCGCUUCCCGUCUGCCUAUUCACCUGUGGCUCUUCUCCUAAAUACCCACAGGUGCGCUUCGUUCAUCCAAAUACGGCGUCCCCAACAUGUCAAAUGCAAAAUAUGUUUUUUACUAAAUGAAAACAGAUAAAACAAACAUUUAACUCAAAUAACCAAUCCCAAACCAUCUUGUAUAUUAUUAAUUAAUAAAUCAAACAUCAUAUCAAACCAAAAAUGGCUCUAACAAUGAUUGUUUAAGGACCAAGGGAAACAAAGUUUGUUCAGUCGGUUAUAAUGCAUCUGAACACAACAACAACCAAUAGCUCCGACCCUAUUCCCCCUGCUUCAUCACGUGUUGUCCAGACGUUUGUCAUUUUGACAGUUGGUGGACGGUGAUAAAAUGGACGCCCGUGUCUGCAGUGUCCCCAGCACAUCUGGGAGGGGCCCUCAGGUUUUCAUAGGUAGCCGCAUCGCUAAGUUCACCAGGAUCCUCUUGGUCCUGUAAGAACCAAAAUAUAUAUUCUGAAUUAAAUCUGAAUCUCCAUGAAAUGUCCCUUAGAAGGGGUUUUUCCUUUUUUUGUUUAAUAAAUGUUGGUAAAAGUGUGUACCAACAGAGAAUUAAACAGACAUAAACAGACUAUAGUAGGCUAUUACCCACACAAGAAAACACAGUCGCUCAAACACUGUCCUCAAAGCUACUCCCGCUGCUUUCUGCUCCCUCUUUGAGCCACACUUUACGAAAGUUAACUGUUGUUGACUGGUGUGACACAGUCUUGUACCCAUAACAUUCAUUCACCAAUUAACACAUUUCAUGAUAUGGAAAAUUAUAUUUUAUUAGAGAAGCCAAGCCAGGAACAUUU
ensembl:lncRNA